CAUGAGUGAGUUAUAUGUAAAGAAUAAUAUACAAGUUACCUCACUUCAAAUAUUUCUAUUGAAUCGUUAAACAUGACCAGUCAAGAACUAAAAGAGCAACCCCACACUACAAGAAAAAUGCCCUUUGGUGACGGCCAUUUUUCAAGAUCUCUCUCUUUUGACAAAACGCGAAGAACCUUCUCCAAACGCGCCACUCAUCUCUCCCUUUCUCGUGCCGACAAAACGCGAAGAACUUUCACAUAAGCGCUUUUCCAAACGCGCUUUUUUCUCAAAUCGAUUCUCACGGAAGUUCUCCAACGUUGCUUUUUCCCCAAAUCGUUCAAUCGCUCAAACCCUAAAAUUGUUCAAUCGCUCGAACCCUAAAAUUGUUCAAUCGCUCAACCUCAAAAUCGUUCAAAUUGCGUAAACCUCAAUCACUUGAAUCGUAUCAAUUGCUCAAACCUUAACAAUCAGAUUUGAAUCGUUUCAACAUCAAAAUCAAUCAUUUGAAUUGCUGAAUCAUCAAAUCUUUUGUGUGAGCUCUGUUUAUCAUAUCAUGUUAUAGGAGCCGUAGUUAAAAUAAUUCAAUUUGAUGUUUUUCAUGUCUUUAGGGUCGGAGUCAUCGCCAUUAUAUGCGCCUCGCCGUCACCGACACGAUUCAGAUUUUGUUACUUCUGAGGAGUAUGUCUAAAGUUACAUUUUCUCUUUCUACGGAAGCAAAGAUCCAUUCACGACGGAGACAAAUCCAAUGCAAUUCUCCAUUCAUAGUUUCAACUCAACUCAACUUACAAUACCUACAACUAUCUAGUAAAUCAAUUUUAUUCUAAAUAUGGUUUGGAGUUUGACAAGUCUUGGUUUUUGGUAUUAUUCUUUCUAUUAUGCAGGCAAUUGGCACAAUCAACAUGGCUACUGAGUUAAUCCAAAAGUUGGGCAUUUUUUCCAUUGGAGAGCCACAAAAGUUUUCAAAUGAUGGUUACGAAGAACUGAUGCAAACAAUUUGUCCGCAAUUUAAAUAUGGGCGCUCCAAUCAUUGAAAGUUUGAGGAAGCACACAAAUGCUGUGGAAAUCGCUAGCAAACAGUUCGGUCAAGUGGAGUGUAAAUGGGGAGAUAACGGUCUUCAGGAUAUCAUUCAAGAUCCGUCCAUUGUUGCCGUUAUUGUCGUUUUGGCUGGACAACAUUAGGUUGAAAUCUCACUCAAGAUGUUGAAGGCUGGUAAACAAGUACUUCAAGGUAAUGCUUAUUGCAAUUGUAGUGUGUGGUUGAUGGCAUUGUUUGGUAUGCCAUCAAGGUAAUGAUUAAUGCAAAUGUAGUGUCUGUGUGUGUAUUUCUUUCUUUCUUUCUGAGGGACAGUUCAACAUUUAAUAAUCAUUAUUUUGAUAUUAAUAUUUUUGUGCCGCUGACUAUAUUUCCUCUGUAUUUGGAUGUACUUAUGUGUUGGGUGGCUGAUUUUGUGGAUAUGAAGAGAAACCUGAUGCAUCUUGUACAACUGAGCUGGAAACUGCAUUAUCUCCCUACAAGUCUUAUUAAAGAUACUGUUAAUCAUAUUUUUUUUAAUGCAGAUUCACAAAAUUAGUAAUGGACUAACUGAUGUGGAUCCUGUUAGAUGGCUAAGUUUCAUGUUAAUUGAGAUUAUUAUAAUGAAAUUGCUUAAUUGACCUAAGUGUCAUGUUACUAAAUGUGUCAUAGCAUUAAGUAUCUAAUAGUUGUUUCAUUGUGUCUAUGUUUUCUCAAAAUUGAAUACUUCACUAUCUAGUGAGGUUAUUUGCAACCUGAUUUUGUCAUUAAUGCAAGUGUAUGCAUUUAAAUUAUGUUAAUAACUGUAGUUUACUCCUCUAAGGAAUUUUCAUCUAGGGCAAUAAUGAGUGAUAAAGGAGAAAAGACUUUCCUUCUAUGUGCAUAAGAAAUGGAUCAACAAAUCAACUAUUGAGACCAUGUAGAUGUGGCUACUAGAGAAUAUGAGCAUGCCAAGUGGUGAGGAGGGGCAGAAAGAGGUCUAAAUAUUGAUGUGUACUUGUGUUAGUAUUGUAUGUGGUCUAUGUUUAUGGCCAUAGCAUGAAAUUGUAUCAGGCAUUAUUUGUUUGGCGUUCUUUCUCCAAUCCUUGUUGAAGUUUAAUCCUUCCUCUUUUAUAGAGAAAGAAGCGAGUCACGUAGAGGGUUUUAGUCCUGAGUAAGCACUAGUGACAAUUGGGGUGGAAAGGAGCUUAAAGAGAAUCUCGUGGGAUGCGUGCUCUUUAACCUAAGGCUAAACAAAUGAUUGACAUCUAUACUAGAUUUUCUUUUGAGGAAGCUGCAAUACCUGUUAUUCCGGGUCUAAAUUCUAAAGGGGAGACAUUUGCCAUUCUGGAUUUUCUUGGGCUGAGUUGAGUGAGUUAAGAACGAAAAAGCAUCUCUGCUGACCAUGCUUUGUUGGGGAAGCUAACUAGUUAAAAUGAGAAACCGAAGGUGAGUUAAGAAAGAGUGCACAGAGUCAAGAUAUGUUUGUGAAAAGUCAUGUGUUGUGCUUAUUAGUGCUCGAUAACGAUGAACAAAUUUGUUUGAAUAUUAGCUUGUAAUUUGUCCAAUGUUGCUACUUACUUUGAAAUAACAUUUUAAGGAUUAAUUGUUUUU